CUACGGGCGGCUGCAGUGAGGAAUUUUGCGCAAUGGGGGGAACCCUGACGCAGCAACGCCGCGUGAGUGAUGAAGGCUUUCGGGUCGUAAAGCUCUGUCAAGUGGGAAGAACCUAUGCAGUGUUAAUAUCACUGUAUACUGACGGUACCACUGAAGGAAGCACCGGCUAACUCCGCGCCAGCAGCCGCGGUAAUACGGGGGGUGCAAGCGUUAUUCGGAAUCAUUGGGCGUAAAGGGCACGUUGGCGGCUUGGUAAGUCAGAUGUGAAAGCCCGGGGCUUAACCCCGGAAGUGCAUUUGAUACUGUCAGGCUUGAGUAUGGGAGAGGGAAGUGGAAUUCCUGGUGUAGAGGUGAAAUUCGUAGAUAUCAGGAGGAACACCGGUGGCGAAGGCGACUUCCUGGACCAAUACCGACGCUGAGGUGCGAAGGCGUGGGUAGCAAACAGGAUUAGAUACCCCAGUAGUC
rnacentral:rRNA from 1 species